AUUGAACGCUGGCGGCAUGCCUUACACAUGCAAGUCGAACGGCAGCGCGGACUUCGGUCUGGCGUCGCGUUGCGAACGGGUGAGUAAUACAUCGGAACGUACCCUAUUUUUGAGAAUAACUAGUCGAAGGAUUACCUGAUACCGCAUACGACCUGAGGGUGAACGUGGGGGACCACAAGUCAUCGCGCGGCAGGAUCGCCCGAUGACUGAUUAGCUAGUUGGUGGGGUAAAGGCGCACCAAGGCGACGAUCCGUAGCUGGUCUGAGAGGCCGAUCAGCCACACUGGAACUGAGACACGGUCCAGACUCCUACGGGAGGCAGCAGUGGGGAAUCUUGGACAAUGGGCGCAAGCCUGAUCCAGCAAUGCCGCGUGUGUGAAGAAGGCCUUCGGGUCGUAAAGCACUUUUGUUCGGAAAGAAAACGUGCUGGUGAAUACCUGGCGUGGAUGACGGUACCGGAAGAAUAAGCACCGGCUAACUACGUG
rnacentral:rRNA from 1 species